UGGGGAAUAUUGGUCAAUGGAGGAAACUCUGAACCAGCAACGCCGCGUGAGUGAUGAAGGUCUUCGGAUUGUAAAGCUCUGUUGGAAGGGACGAAAAAAAUGACGGUACCUUCUAAGAAAGCCACGGCAAACUACGUGCCAGCAGCCGCGGUAAUACGUAGGUGGCAAGCGUUGUCCGGAAUGACUGGGCGUAAAGAGUGCGUAGGCGGCAAAUUAAGUUGGAAGUGUAAUCCCGGGGCUCAACCUCGGUGCUACUUCCAAAACUGGUUUGCUUGAGUGUGGGAGAGGUAAGUGGAAUUCCUAGUGUAGCGGUGGAAUGCGUAGAUAUUAGGAGGAACACCAGAGGCGAAGGCGGCUUACUGGCCCAUAACUGACGCUGAGGCACGAAAGCGUGGGGAGCAAACA
rnacentral:rRNA from 1 species